rnacentral:rRNA from 1 species
GCGUGGGAAUCUGCCCAAUAGUGGGGGACAACAGUUGGAAACGACUGCUAAUACCGCAUACGCCCUACGGGGGAAAGGAGGGGAGUCUUCGGACCUUUCGCUAUUGGAUGAGCCCGCGUCGGAUUAGCUAGUUGGUGGGGUAAAGGCCUACCAAGGCGACGAUCCGUAGCUGGUCUGAGAGGAUGAUCAGCCACACUGGAACUGAGACACGGUCCAGACCCCUACGGGAGGCAGCAGUGGGGAAUAUUGGACAAUGGGGGAAACCCGUGAUCCAGCCAUGCCGCGUGUGUGAAGAAGGCC